rnacentral:rRNA from 1 species
GUAGGGUGCGAGCGUUGUCCGGAAUUAUUGGGCGUAAAGAGCUCGUAGGCGGUCUGUCGCGUCGGCUGUGAAAACUCGGGGCUCAACCCCGAGCCUGCAGUCGAUACGGGCAGACUAGAGUGCGGUAGGGGAGACUGGAAUUCCUGGUGUAGCGGUGAAAUGCGCAGAUAUCAGGAGGAACACCGGUGGCGAAGGCGGGUCUCUGGGCCGUAACUGACGCUGAGGAGCGAAAGCGUGGGGAGCAAACAGGAUUAGAUACCCUGGUAGUCCACGCCGUAAACGGUGGGUGCUAGGUGUAGGCGGUAUUCCACGCCGUCUGUGCCGCAGCUAACGCAUUAAGCACCCCGCCUGGGGAGUACGGCCGCAAGGCUA